UACGUAGGGACCAAGCGUUGUCCGGAAUCAUUGGGCGUAAAGAGCGUGUAGGCGGCUUGUUAAGUCUUGCGUGAAAUCUCGGGGCUCAACCCCGAGCGGUCGUGAGAAACUGGCAGGCUAGAGUGCGGGAGAGGAGAGUGGAAUUCCUGGUGUAGCGGUGAAAUGCGCAGAUAUCAGGAAGAACACCCGUGGCGAAGGCGACUUCCUGGCCUGUUCUUGACGCUGAGGCGCGAAAGCUAGGGGAGCAAACGGG
rnacentral:rRNA from 1 species